rnacentral:lncRNA from 1 species
AGGGAACAGGCAUAAAAUGGGACAAAAAUAAGAAACUUUAUUUUUCCUGGGAAAGAUUCAAAUACAUACAAAUUCAACAUUCUAUCAAGUGGAAAAGGAGAAAAGUAAUACCUGAUCUGACUAUCAACACUAUCACGCAUCCGUAUUCUUCUGCAAAAAAAUUUUUUAUUGCCUCUUCUUCAGUUUCCAUACAUUUUACAACUUUUAUAAUUACUUUACUAUGAGGUGUUGUUAUUAUUCUCCUAAUUAUUUUGUUUAUAUUUUCAAAUCACGAUUCAAUUUAAUCAAUAACGUUAUAUUCAAUUAAAAGAUGCAACCCAAAAAUGGUCAAAUGCAUUUGGACUUUUACGAAGAUGAUUAAUUAUGUACUCUUGAGUUUUUUAUUUUUAUUUUUUACAUUUAAGAUUAUAAUUUUUUAAAAUGUAAUGAAUAUUUACAAAGUGCAUAUUACACCAUGAAUUAGCUAAAAGAAAAAAAUAUUACUG